rnacentral:rRNA from 1 species
AUUUUGAUCCUGCCGGAGGCCAUUGCUAUUGGGAUCCGAUUUAGCCAUGCUAGUCGUACGAGUUCAGACUCGUGGCGAAUAGCUCAGUAACACGUGGCCAAACUACCCUUCGGAACACAAUACCCUCGGGAAACUGAGGCUAAUAGUGUAUACCACAUCACCACUGGAAUGAGUGAUGUGCCAAACGCUCCGGCGCCGAAGGAUGUGGCUGCGGCCGAUUAGGUAGACGGUGGGGUAACGGCCCACCGUGCCAAUAAUCGGUAUGGGUCAUGAGAGUGAGAACCCAGAGACGGAAUCUGAGACAAGAUUCCGGGCCCUACGGGGCGCAGCAGGCGCGAAACCUUUACACUGCACGACAGUGCGAUAGGGGGAUCCCAAGUGCACAGGCAUAGCGCCUGUGCUUUUCGGUACCGUAAGGUGGUACCAGAAUAAGGGCUGGGCAAGACCGGUGCCAGCCGCCGCGGUAAUACCGGCAGCCCAAGUGAUGGCCGAUCUUAUUGGGCCUAAAGCGUCCGUAGCUGGCCGCGCAAGUCCAUCGGGAAAUCCACCUGCUCAACAGGUGGGCGCCCGGUAGAAACUGCGUGGCUUGGGACCGGAAGGCGCGACGGGUACGUCCGGGGUAGGAGUGAAAUCCCGUAAUCCUGGACGGACCGCCGAUGGCGAAAGCACGUCGCGAGGACGGAUCCGACAGUGAGGGACGAAAGCCAGGGUCUCGAACCGGAUUAGAUACCCGGGUAGUCCUGGCCGUAAACAAUGUCUGCUAGGUGUGGCUCCCACUACGAGUGGGUGCUGUGCCGUAGGGAAGCCGCUAAGCAGACCGCCUGGGAAGUACGUCCGCAAGGAUGAAACUUAAAGGAAUUGGCGGGGGAGCACUACAACCGGAGGAGCCUGCGGUUUAAUUGGACUCAACGCCGGACAUCUCACCAGCAUCGACUGUAAUAAUGACGACCAGGUUGAUGACCUUGUCCGAGUUUCAGAGAGGAGGUGCAUGGCCGCCGUCAGCUCGUACCGUGAGGCGUCCUGUUAAGUUAGGCAACGAGCGAGACCCGCACCCUUACUUGCCAGCAGUACCGCGAGGUAGCUGGGGACAGUAGGAGGACCGCCGUGGCUAACACGGAGGAAGGAACGGGCAACGGUAGGUCAGUAUGCCCCGAAUGUGCUGGGCAACACGCGGGCUACAAUGGUCGAGACAAAGGGUUCCUACUCCGAAAGGAGACGGUAAUCUCAGAAACUCGAUCGUAGUUCGGAUUGUGGGCUGCAACUCGCCCACAUGAAGCUGGAUUCGGUAGUAAUCGCGUGUCACAAGCGCGCGGUGAAUACGUCCCUGCUCCUUGCACACACCGCCCGUCAAAGCACCCGAGUGAGGUCCGGAUGAGGCGUUCCACGAACGUCGAAUCUGGGCUUCGCAAGGGGGCUUAAGUCGUAACAAGGUAGCCGUAGGGGAAUCUGCGGCUGGAUAAU